rnacentral:tRNA from 1 species
UCCCUCAUAGCUCAACGGCAGAGCAUCCGACUGUUAAUCGGAAGGUUACUGGUUCGAAUCCAGUUGGGGGAGCCA